UGCUGUGAUGUCGUAAUUUGCGUCUUACUGUUCAUGGCGACAGUUGCCUGCUGUCAGUAUGCUGGUUCAGAAGGUUGACGAAAGUUGUUACUGAGCA
rnacentral:snoRNA from 1 species